CCCCGCUACUGUAAAAAGAACUCUUUUGUUUUGAGACUAGCUAGUCGCUAUGGUUUGCGGGAAAACUCUUCUCUCUCUGGUCUCACUUCGAGUCCUUCUAGAAGUAAAUAAAGGAAAUGCUUAUUCAACUACGGCACUGUCGGACAACCGACCGGAUUCAAGCCCUAGCCCCUCAACUCGGACGGACUUGUGGAAAUCCUCGAAAACAAGUAUUGCUCAACUCACCUAUCUAUAACAUAGAAAUGUUGCAUCCAACCCUGGAACGAGAGGUAAAGAAUAGGCUACCAUACGAGAUGAGACGACUUCACUCUUGGCUUUCAUCCCUACGCUUAAGAAAGAUAAGGGAUUGGAUUUCAUACCUUUUAUUUAGAGAUCCGUCGUUCCGACUGGAAAAUGUAACCUUCCACCAUACGUAAACCAAACCUCUUUGCUUUCUGGCUUUUCCUUCCUAACAAGGAGGCGGGAUUUUGAAGUUCCUUUUUUCCUUUUUGCUCUUUUUCUUUGAAAGCUUUUUCCAAAUUCUAUGGCAGCAAGAUUAUUUGCUUUUGCUAGAAAAAAGCACAUUUCUUCCUAGUACUUUGAUUUUCUUUUUCACCUUGGGUCUUGCCCAUAGGAAAGAUACGUAGCUCGGUCAGGGCAUAUCCUAAAGCCAUUGCCUCCAGCCAGUAGUAGUGGUAGGUAAGCAUCUUAAGUUAGGGGUGAAAUUGCUUUUCUGACAAGGAAAGGGAUUGUAGGCAAGCCCGUAGAAUUUCCUCUUACCUCUUCUCUUCUUUUAUUACAGCAGUGGUAGUCUCAAUAGUUCCAUUUCCAGUGCUUUAUAAGCCCAUGCAGUUAUUAAAAGUGUUAAGUAUAGCAUCUUUCUUAGGAUGUACUUUUUGAUCUUCCCUUGCAGUCUAUGCUUAUUGGUUAGCUAGUGUCAUUGGCCUUCGGCUUCUUACCCUUCUGGUUAGGUUAAAAAACUAUAUGUCUUGUUUUUUCAAUUCUCCUGUAAAGUCAAUAAAGCGAGAAAGAAGAUCUCUCAAGGACUACGCAAGCUCGUCUAUAUUGCAUCAAGAGCUUCGACUUUGAUUGCAUUGCCAGCAGCGGAUGCUUUCACAGCAAAUGAAAUACCAAUUGCCGUUCUUUUAAGAAGUUCCUUGCCUUACUAAUGUAAUAGUUACAGAAAGCUCUUCCUUCCCCAUCCGCCCUUUUCGGUUUAAUUGAAUAAGACCGGCCCGAGCCAUACUUCUAAUUAUCGAGGAUACACAGAUGGCUGCUGCUUUUAUUUUCACCUGCGGUUCUUCUUCUUAUUUAAGGGAUCAAAAGUAUCUUCCUCAAAAAGGUCCUUAACCCCUUGACCUAGAAUAGAACCAAAUUUAGCUAUCACCUAUGAAUCCAUCUCAUAUAUUCCAUAUUAUGCCUUUCUCAAAGUAAAAAAGCAAAAGUUUCUAGCCUCCAUCAAGGGAAAACCUUUCAUAUCUGCGCACAAAAGGCUUCCGGUUGUUUGAUCAAGAGAGCAAUUCAAGCUGCCAAGUAACCAAUUCAUCCCCUUAUUCCCAAGUUCUUAUUAGAUUGUUUGCCAACUUCAAUUGAAGUCCAGGAAAAUUCCCUUAUCUAAGGGAUAGGUCUGUUUGUUUUAAUUAACGAAUCGAGCCCCUUGAGUCCCUAGCAGCCUUAAGCCCAUAAGCUACUUCCUUUAUUUUCUGAUUGGAAUUCAAGUUGGACUAGAUCGUUGUUAUUGUCCGCAAGGGAUGGGAAAUAGGACCUUUAAAUCAACAAUGCAAGUAAGGGCUGAUUAACCUACUUAGCUUUCCAAAAUCGUAAGGGUUGGGGAAACGAUUUCUUUCGGGAAGAUAGUUAUUGGAAUUAUGAUGAUAGGAAUUUCUUAGAUUCUUUUCUGAUAGAAAAAACACUUUCAUGAAGGAAGAUACCUAUAAAAGUGCUCAGUUCAAUCAGAAACCUAUUCUUCAACUACCGUGCUCUGUUCAGUUCAAGAUUUGUUUUCUCUCGGGUUCGGUUCAGUUCCUGACCCCUAUUGUUUGUUCAAUCACUCCAAUCAACCUUCCCUUUUUUGCUUCCGCUGAGGAGAAAUUGAGAAGAGAAGGGUUGUGGCAUUCUUCCCCUAAAAGGUGCACAUCCAUCGAUUCCCUCAUCUAGUGUAGUGCUCUGUUCAGAGACCAAGGAAGCUAUUAGUUUGAGUUCCUGAUUUCCCUGUUGCCGACUAGAUUGCUUACCGACUUUCAUGAUGGAAGAAGAUACCGACUUGAGGGAAGGCAGUACAGAGCAGCAGCCUAGGGAUAAGCAGGAAUUCAGGUUAGCUUUUCUGUUUUCCGAAUCUUACCCACCUGAGAGUCCAAGAAAGAAGGCAAAACAGCUAUAUAGAGCCCCUCCCUCGAGUCGAGCAAUGAACAAGUAAGUAGAGAAAAGGAAGAGGGGAAAUGCAGUAUCGUUAUGUUAUAGCAAGAUCAUCAGAUCAUGGGUGAAGCAAUCGAUCAUCAAAAAGUUCUUUAUCAGCCGGCGGAAAGCGUGGUAAUUCAUUCAUUUCAUCGGAAAAGGAUCGAACAGGAGUCAUCGCAUCGUUUCUAGAUCUUCGAUACCUCUAUAUUCUGAAGAAUAGGUCCUAAAAUGGUCAAUCGAUUGUUUUCUCAACGGGAAUCGAGGAAAUGGCAAGGGUUUGAGUAUAGCGAGCAGAGGAAUAGUUUCCUUUAUCAAAAGAAGCCUCUCGACUUGGAAACAGAAGAUGUUGUAACUUAACUGCACCCUUCCUCUUUCUACUGACCUCCUUGUCUGAUCCUGAAUUCCCUUUCAAACUACUUUCUUGCCUUCCUUGACCAAUGUUAUGGAUGGUGCACUGGUUGAGAAAAUAAUUGGCCCUUCCUUCUUAUAGCAACAAAAUCCAAUCUCCCCCUCAUACGAACCUACCUCCAUGACUUUCAUGUCAAACUGAAACUCCUUCCCUUGCAUUACCCAUAGCAUGCCAUCACAUUUGUGCUCACAAUACAUCUUAGCGCCAUUUGCUACUGUGAUUUCCAUAGGUUUAUACGGAGUUGAGUCGUAACCAGCCCGCUUCACAAUCUUUGGGGUCUACAAAACAGUGCGUGCUGCCACUAUCAACCAAGGCAAUCACUGGCACUCCGUUUACCUGGUAUCUCUGUCCAUAGUCGUCUCCUAUUUUGGAAGACUGAGACUUGCGACACAGCAGCAAUAUUAUUCAAAUAACAUGUCAUUCAAACGCAGCGCGCCUUGUUAAUUGCUCGUCAUGUAAGUGAAUUUACGAAUAGGGAGCCCAGGUGCCCAACAAGUGAACUAUUUCCUCCUCCAGGAUUGUUGCUUUCCUUCUAUAGCCUCACGUAUGAAAAACGUGUGCCUUAUAGAGGGCUAGGCCACAAAUACAUAGCAUAGAUAACAAGGGUUUCGCCAAAGUAGACGCUCAAGCGAAACAUUCCACUUAUCGAAGAAGGGAUGCAGGUAUUUCAAGUUCAAGAAGUAGGCAUUGAUCCCAAAGAAUGUAGUGAAAAUCUAGGCUAGGAGAAAUGCGUCAGAGCCGAGGUCAGGCAAAAGGUUGCUGGAUCUUUAUGUUGGCCGGAAGUUAUUUCUUUUCAAUGAGGUUCAAUGUUCUCUAGAUUGCUUAGAAGUAGCCUGCCUUACUCGAGCCAACUAGGAUCAGAAGGUGUUGAUAGGGCUAGACUUUCUCUCAUGGGCGUGACCAUAUUAAAUAAAGGGUCUUUUCAUCGCUUUGGCCUGGCACUCGAGUCAACAGUUAGAAAUAGUUCCUUCGACCCUGAAACCCGCGGAAGAAACCUUAGGUAAUGAUUGGCUUCUAACGAUGAAUAAAAUAGGUAUGUUUCUUAACACCGCGGUCUGACUUCCUAUGAGUCAAGGUACGUAAUUCCAGUUCGAGACUGUUAUUGAAGUCGUAAACAUCCGGAGGAAUAGAAUCUUCAAAUCAUUAGGGAAGGAAUGGAAUAUAGUGGUAGUCCCUUUGGCGCCAAGAAACAGAGGAAUAGGUUUCGUUGAGAUCUGCAUUCCUGAAUUGAGUAAAGUACGUGUAUGACCCAGAGAAGUGAAGGUGUUUGCCAGAUCAGAUUUGACUUGGUGCUGUCUCAUCCGAAAAGUAUGCUUGUUUCAAUCUAAUCUCAAAACACGAUUGUGUUGGUCUUCAGCUGCCAAUGAAUAUGGGUAUUCCUGGCUCAAGGAGCAGAAAGUCUCUAGUUUUCUCGCACGAGUAGAUCAUCUUGUUUCCCUAGCCAGGAAAGUCUGAUUCAACAGAAUAUCCAGGGCUAUGGUCUCUAAUGGAUGGUACCUCGCUCAAUUGAAGCUUAUGGGAAAGCAGGAGUCAUUGUCAUAUCAACAGUCAAACGCGAACCGCGCUUUAGUUGUCUACCUCUUUAGUUGCCUAACUCACUUAAGUAUGCCUACCUGAUCUCGGCUUCAUUAUCACAUAAAUGCCUGCUGAAACAAAGGAUUUUGGAGUGGCAGAGCUCAAGUAUCAUAUUAUCAUGGUGGUUACCAUUGCGCUAGAAAGCCAGAUGAGAAAGAGACACGAAGAGGUGGCAGGCGGAGGACGUUGAGAGCUAUCUUUUAGGAAUAGGAGGUCGCUUUGCGCUCUUGCUGCUUAUGCUAAUUUCAAAUUCCCAGAGACAGGGUUACUAUUUGAACCCACACGUAGAUCAGUUUAUGAUUCCAAUGUUCUAUCGACUGACUAAGUUGGUCCUUAAUUUCCAAUGAAGUUUUUAUUUUCUCGAGGGACGUAGCAAACUGUUUGGUUGGCUCCGAGCAUUAUAAAAAUAGAGUCCUGCCUGGACAAUGUUGAUAACGGGAAAUCUCUAACCUCCGUGGUGGGUGUGAAGAAGGGUACAGCUAGAAAGCGAGAGAAUAUCUUUAUGGAUAUGAGUCUGAGGCAGAAGUCUCUGAAUGCGGUCCUGACGAACCUUUUGUACCAGGAUCAUCACGAGACUCUGUUUCUGUGGUAGAUGACUCAAUAGGCAGGGCCUAGAACCUCUAAAGAGGGUGUGACCGAUCACCAGAUCACGAUCAAGAAGAGUCAAAGCUGUCUUACUAGCGCGAGCAAUCAUCCAACUAUGGUGGUUUCUCAACCGGUGGGUACAUUUCUGUUGCACAUUGUGAGUUCAUAUUUUCUUUUCUAAGAAACAAAAGUUCGAGCAGAUGCCGUUCUAGCAGGUACAAGAACUCCCGUUCGGUAGGCGUCUGCUUUAGCAAUGUCUUUGAUUUCCAAUCCUCGAUCAACAAUUUGAGGAAGACGAGACAGAAGCCUUUGGAUGAAACCAAUGAAUCUUCCGAUCCGAAAGACUAAGGGGCUAGGCGCUCACCUACUAUCUACACAUUUCCUCUUUGGCGUUGGCUCCACCAGUUUUGACUGCGAGUCGCUUUAGUUAUCUCAAAUCUUUGGCAGGAAGGGGCCAAGCCAAAUAGUGCUCUUUAGAAGCGUAAUCCGUGCUUGAAACUCCUUCGCUAGGAUCCAAAAACCUAUGCUUCCGCUCUGCCUCACCAGGCAAUGCUUACUCUUCUCGAUCAAGAGGGCUCUUUUGGAGACUUUGAAGCUCAAGGACACGACAGUGCUUGAAACAAAUGCUUUGUUUUGGCACCUUCGUCUUCCUUUCUAACAUUAGUAAAUUCGAGCUAAUGGGACCAGUUUUGAAUUGCCUAGAGGGUGGAGAAGUCACAUCAUCUGAGGUUUGUUGUGGGUUCAAUUAUGACCCCGGUCUAGAAGACGGAGUGGUUGCACGUGUAAGUACAUCAUGUUACAUAUCUAUUUUAAGCUAAGCUAAAUGCCUAAACUAAACAAUUUUAUAUUAAGCGCGGCAUCCUCUCUUCGGGGUUUACGCGUCCUAGUCCGAACCAUUGGAUCGAUCAGAAGAAGAAAGGCAAAGGAAUUGAAAGGUAGAGUAAGAAGCAUCGCCCAGAUCAAUGGAAAAUGGAAGUUUCUAGAAUUGCUGCUCUGUUCUGUUCAAGAAGUCUUUCUCCAGGGUUCGGUUCAGAAGGCGGGAUGGAAGAGAGAGAAUGGGCUCAUCGUGCGACAAGGUCGAUCGAUCACUCAAACUGUUCGGUAUCUCUACAAUUGAGUGAGCUGUGUUGCGAAGGAAAAUGAUGAAAUUGCUUACUUUUCACAGGCGUGAAUUCUAUCUUCGAUUAGAUAGUUUCCAUGCUUUUGAUAAAAAGAUGGGUUGGUAGGCAGGAUGAGAAGUUCAGUUAAAGAUUUCUCUCUGCUCAGUGAAGGGAAUAGCUUCCUUUUUCUUGGACUUGGGGUCAAGUAGUGGGAAACUAGAAUCCUUCGAUUCCCUCGUGUAGUGUUCUGUUCCAUAUUUGUGUAUCCAGCUUAUCCCGGUAUCUGCUCUGCUCCGUGAAGGAAAGGAAAAAGCUUUCUAUCUGCUUUCUCUGUAUCCACCUUUACUCGGUAUUCUGUUCCUGAUUUGCAUUUCACCACCUUAUCUAUUUCCUCCAUACUAAAAGGUUGAAUGAGGGCCUCAGCUUCUUCAUUAGAUAAGCACCCAGUGAUAUCCCAGAUAUCAUGCCGUAAGUGAACAUUGCUNNNNNNNNNNAUCUCCUUUCUUUGUAUCCACCUUUACUCGGUAUUCUGUUCCUGAUUGUCGUUUCACCACCUUACCUAUUCCUCCAUACUAAAAGGUUGAAUGAGGGCCUCAGCUUCUUCAUUAGGUAAGCACCCAGUGAUAUCCCAGAUAUCAUGCCGUAAGUGAACAUUGCUUCACUCUACUCUCCCAAAUCCACUUUCUAGUAUGAAGUGAUAUGCUCUCUUAGCUCUUUUGGAGAAUGUAUAGAUUUCUCACCAUCUUCCUUGAUAGAAAUGCUAUUCUUUCUUUUCCUCCCAUUUGCUUUUUUAUGGAAAUAAGCAGUGUCCCUUUAGCAGCCACUCUACUGUUCACCUCCUCUUUUCUGCCAAUAUAACUCUUCCAUCUCACAAAUUUGGACCAAUUGAGCUUCCAAUUCAUAUCUUAGCCUCCAUUCAUUAGGAUUUAGCUGUGUAGUUUCGGCUUUAAUAUCAAUGACAGACAUAUAGCAGUAAUUAGAUUGGAUUUACUUCUUCUAUUGUCAGUAGCAUCAUUUGNNNNNNNNNNUUGUAGUUUCAGCUUUGCUAUCAAUGGCAGGCAUAUAACAGUAAUUAGAUUGGAUUUACUUCUUCUAUUGUCAGUAGCAUCAUUUGCCUUCCACCCUCUCAAGAACUUCCUGAAGCCCUGAGACACUUGUUGCCAAUAGUCUGGAAUGGAACAUUUGCAACAGUUCUUGUAGGCCAUUUCUGUAACAGCAUAUCUCUAAACCCUUCUUGCGGAUGGUUCAAAACGAAACUUAGUGGCAGCCCCUAUCUUCCCCAUUUUCUAGAAGUAAAGGACAAUGAUCUGACCCAGCUUGCAAGAGGGAUAGUAAAACUUAGGAAAUAAAUCCUCAUAAGUUGAAGAAACCAGAACUCUAUCCAAAACUUCUCUCACUGGCCUGUCUUGUUUGUUAGUCCAGGCCACCAACCCUUCUCAGUUCCUGUAGUUUAGUUUCAGAUAUGAAAGCAUUAAAAGCUUCCAUCCUAUUAAUAUGUAUUCUGCCAUUGUUUCAUGAGCAAAUCUNNNNNNNNNNGCCCUCUCAAGAACUUCCUGAAGCCGUGAGACACUUGUUGCCAAUAGUCUGGAAUGGAACAUUGGCAACAGUUCUUGUAGGCUGUUUCUGUAACAACAUAUCUCUAAACCCUUCUUGCGGAUGGUUCAAAACGAAACUUAGUGGAAGCCCCUAUCUUCCCCAUUUCCUAGAAGUAAAGGACAAUGAUCUGACCCAGCUUGCAAGAGGGAUAGUAAAACUUAGGAAAUAAAUCCUCAUAAGUUGAAGAAAUCAGAACUCUAUCCUAAACUUCUCUCACUAGCAUGUCUUGUUUGUUAGUCCAGGCCACCAACCCUUCUCAAUUCCAGUAGUUCAGUUUCAGAUAUGAAACCAUUAAAACCUUCCAUCCUAUUAAUAUGUAUUCUGCCAUUGUUUCAUGAGCAAAUCUGAUCAUGUCCCGCAAAGGUAGAUCAACACUCUGCACAAAGUUAGUGAGCUCUGACAAAAACAUAGCUCUUAAAGACUGUUUGGUUGGACCAUAAACAUCCACCCAAGCACAAUUAUCACAAAGCCUCUAUACUCAAACACCNNNNNNNNNNUGCAAAGUUAGUGAUCUCUGACAAAAACAUAGCUCUUAAAGACUGUUUGGUUGGACCAUGAACAUCCACCCAAGCACAAUUAUCACAAAGCCUCUAUACUCAAACACCAUGGAGAAAUUGACCCUCCCCAAUGAGGUCUGCAUCCAUGACAUCCAGAUUGACUCCAAUAAGCAUUCCACCUUUACUGCCACUGGCUGGCUUGCAAAACCACUUGAAAAGCUUUCUGCCACCAAUUGCCAUUAACUCUUUAUCUGAGAACUGUUCUCUCUUAGUUUCUUGCACACAAACUAUGUCCACCCACUCUAUCACUUCAGAAGGUUGCCCCCUUCUACCUGGCCAGGCCCCUCACAUUCAAGAUUAGUGUCUUCAUGGCGGUAUCUGUUUUUUGUUAUGCCUCCUCUUAGCUCUGCUCGUAGUGUUCUUGUCACCAACUGGUAUACAAGUACUGUGAUUAUCUAACUCUUCAACAAUCUGAGUAAUAUCCUCAUUCUCUGAAUCAGAGCUUAACUCGACACUGGAAGACUGNNNNNNNNNNAUCUGCUCGUAGUGUUCUUGUCACCAACUGGUAUACAAGUAUUGUGAUUAUCUAACUCUUCAACAAUCUAAGCAAUAUCCUCAUUCUCUGAAUCAGAGCUUAACUCGACACUGGAAGACUGCUCCUUCUCAUGAGCAGCUAACUUCUUUUUCUGAGCAGCUUCAUAAAGCAAUGCUUGAGCAAGUUCUCUUGCUUUAAUAGAAUUUAUAGACCUGUCAAUUUCCUCCUGUGUACUGCCCAACACUAGACCACUAUCUACAGCAGAUUUUACUAGACUAGCAGAAUCAAUGGAAUUGCAAAUAGCAUAUCUGUUAGUAGAAGACAUACCUGGUUCAUCAAGAUUCUUGCGUGAAGCCAUCCUUUCUGCACGUUGCUGAAUAGGCAUGCCAUCCUUCGGGAUCCUAUCCUAGCACUUGUCCUCGUUGCUUUAAUUCUUGCGUUUGCACCUCAUUGAACUUCUCUUGUUCUUUGGUCAUUCCAGAAAAAACCUCCAUACCUUAAUAAUAGGGGCUUGUGUAUAAAGGAAAGCAGCAAACCGGUCAAAGGCGAAGCUGUUCUAUCUCAACUCUCUGACUUGAAGGAAGAUGUGGCGGAUCUCAAGGCUGGCUCUAUUCCAAGUACAAGUUUCGAGGUGAAAUGUGUUGAUGUGGCCAAUCGAUAUACAGUAUAGUUGAAUGGUUCGACAAGUUCACAUGCCGGAGCUACCUGUUCUCCGCGAUUCAAGUUGGUUCUUCUGCCCCGCUCCACCAGAAUUGUGCAGACAUCGACACUAGCUUCUGACAAGUACCCUUUGAUAACUGAAAACAGCUCAUGCUGUAGGUUGGCAUCGCCUGAAUGACUGCCUUUAUUAGCGUUUCCUUUCCAUGCAUGCGUUCUUUCUCUCCUCCCCUCAGCCACACAUCUUUUUCGUUCGCUCCCCAUUUUAUUCUCUAAGGAACCCUCUCCUUAAUGAGCGUAGAUUGAUGGAGAUGGCUUUUGUACCGGUCAAUCUUUAUAUCCUUUCUGGCAUAGUUUUGUAAAAGAUCGGCAGAUGAUCCGUCCUUUCUCCUCUGCCGUGGUUCAUGCAUUCUUCCUUUUUGGAAAGCGGAUAGGGAUCGGGUGAAUUAGAGAAUAGACAGACGUCCGUUGGCAUUUCAGCCUUUCUUCUCCUUUCAGGGCCUAUCCGAAAGAGAAUCCAGUACCUCUUGGUCCUAAAUAUCAGAAUAGGACGCGCAACAACGGAACAACAAGAGCAAGACCGCUCCAAACUAAAUCACAGUAGAAGUUAUGGCCACUCAGGCUGGACCAAAACAGCAAGCGGAAGGUCUCCGAAAGUCCUACAUUAGCACCAAGCCAUCCCCCAAGGGAGGGUAUAACGGAGUGUGGUAAAAUCCAGUUGCUAACGCUCCCGGCUGUGGGUUCUUCACAAUUAGCAGGGCUUCUAUUCUAGUACAGAGAUCACCACUUGUUAUGCCAGGGUCUCCUUUUUCGAGUUGGUUACUGUCUUGUUGAGCAACGUUUUCCCGGCAAUCUCCGCUUAUUAGGGUGGCCUCUAACAGGUCGGGAGAGUACUAAAAAUCUGGCUCAUACGCCUCGCAAGAUUGAACAUCUGCGAAAGUCGUCUCGAAGCUCUGACUCUCGAGAGAAAGUAUUGCCUACCAGUGACUUAUUUUACUGAAUAAGAAUGCCUACUGUACUAGCUUCUUUCUUGACUCCAUUAACUCAGUUUACAGAAAGGAAUCCGUCCAGUCCAGUAAGAAGGAAUAGAGAAGAAGAAAGUCACUCAUCAACUCCUACUUUGGUUAUUGAGACUUGCCCGCGUAUCUGACCUAUGUGUACCUAUUCCCUAGCCUAAGUAGCUUACCCACUGUCCUAAUAACUGUCUGUCAAUCCGGCAGCUUGCCCUACUGCCUAUCGACGCUACUGUCCUAAGUCUCCUACUCAUAUACCCAAGGUCAAAGACUUUGCAGGGCAACAAACUGAUUUCGGAAUUGCUUAACUGCUGAGAGCUAAUAUCGGGGAGUAGUAAGCCAGCCCACCACAAGAUGAAUGAGUGCUCCUCUCCUAUGCCGACUUACUAGCCAGGUUGAGCCUUUGAGCCAUAAGAGGAGGGAGAAUCUUGUUGAUUUUCCAGGGAAUGAUUAUAUGGAUUUCAAGGAGGAUAUUGUUACCUUCAUCAGAUUGAUUGAUAACUGGUCGUCGAUUGACAACUACUGCUUUUUCCAGUGAGAAAGGAAGGAGGAAGGGGAUCUCAACAAGCCAUGGAUAUAUAGCCUACAGCCGAGUCCACAAAGAAGACGGUUUCAAAGCUUGAAGAGCAUAUUUGUGAGGCUGAUCCCUAAGUGCAGAGUUUCAUGUGACGAACAACGAAACUCCAUUUCUUCAAACACAACCCUGUGCCACCGACAAACGUUUGACUUUGACUGUGUUUUUUUUGGGCUAUGAAGAUUCUACUUAUACCCAAUGAUGGAACAUUUUGAAAAUAUGUUCAACGGGAUCUUAAGAAAGGCAAAUUUCAAGCCUAUAGUUUUUAAGAUCAUCUCGCUAAUCGAAAGAUGAAGGAUGAUGAACACUACAUGGCUAGUGGCCUUAUGCAAACAAAGAAGAGGGAUGCCUAACCAAUUGAUCCUAAAAUAUCUUAUUUGAGAUAGGUCAGAUUGGACUUAGUGGCCAACGUUAGGUAUGGUAGAGUCAAUAUGGGAUGUGGAAUUCCAGGAAACAUUCUUAUCCGCGCUCACUAACAAUGUGAAAUUGGUCCUUAGUUUCCUCCAACUGAUUNNNNNNNNNNGUCUUAAGAAAGGCAAAUUUCAGGCCUGUAGUUUUUAAGAUCAUCUCGCUAAUCGAAAGAUGAAGGAUAGCGAACACUAGAUGGCUAGUGGCCUUAUGCAAACAAAGAAGAGGGAUGCCUAACCAAUUGAUCCUAAAAGAUCUUAUUUGAGAUAGGUCAGAUUGGACUUAGUGGCCAACGUUAGGGAUGGUAGAGUCAAUAUGGGAUGUGGAAUUCCAGGAAACGUUCUUAUCCGCGCUCACUGAUAAUGUGAACCUGGUCCUUAGUUUCCUCCAACUGAUUCCUGUUUUUUUGAGCCUUUUUCAGUAAGUCCUUAAUAGCUAAAAAUGCUUUGACUCUAAGGGUUACCUUGGUACCUUUAUUCGGAUAUGCUUCUUUUCGGACAGGAGGGGCAGAUUGACAUUCAGGCAAUGGCACAUGGAUUCUAUUGAGAAGGGUUGGCUGCUCUCGACGACGGGGUGGGGGAAUGAGAUGCUGGGAGAUGGGAGUUAUUGGUGGAUUGAGAGGGGAGCAGAUGCAUGGGCUAGUUCAAUCUUUUUGCUCCUGCCUUCCUAGCCUUAUGGACAGGAGUCCUCUGGCCUAGUCCUGAAACUCUUCCCGCAGCCUUCCUUGCCCUUAUUGCCCGGCAUACCUCGGAAGGCAUACCCUGGAACCAAUUCAUUCAUCUGCCCUCUUCGCGAUAAAGCUUUGCCUUACUUUGCUUGCUGGCUCUAAGCCCACCUCCUUUACUACACUACACCCUCUCACCGCCCCUAUUCAGCCCGAAAGGCUUCUAACUUCCCCGAAACCUUACUUAUUCAGGGCAAGAUUCGGAACUUAGGGUCACUGCCUUUCAUCCGCCUUUCUCUCAUAUGCUUAGAACCUAUCCAUAGAAAUGGAAUUCAAAACUUCGGAAUAGUUUCGAGGAGAGCCGAGAGGACAUGUUCAAGGAGUAGUGUAAAGUAGCAGACAGAGGGGCGCUCCCGCUUAGGCAUUAGGCAUUAGGCACGAGAAAGGACAUCGUUCUCGGCCGUCCCUUCCUUCCCGGAAAAAGGCUCUCUUGCAUCUUUUGCUUCCCCACCCGGCCUCUAUUCUAGAUUCACCGUCUUCGGAUGCAUCAGUUUAUUAUGCUUAUGCCUAAUCUUAAUACUGGCUAGUUACUUCAAUUACCUUACCCCACCGCCCCUCCUUUUAAGGAGGUUUCAGAGCACCCAGUCACAGCUCGUCACAAGAAAGGAUUGAUGGUCGAGUCCCCGUGCAUGAAGUCAGUGGAUUCGAGUGAACUGACCGUACUACAAAUCGACAUACUUGAGGAAGCUUCUUACUAAACCAAAGAAAGGGCAACUCCAGUUGUGUUGUCGAUUCCCUUCUCCCGAGAGCUUUCACACUCUGGGAUGGGAGUCCCUUCAAAGACUUGACCAAAAGCUCCCCACAAUUUCUUAAUUUGAAGUAGUUUGGAGGCCUUCUUCUAGUUAUGAAUAGCCCUCGUCUGUCACUAUAGAUGUUCUAGCUUUAGUCUUCAGUGUCAUUUUUAGUUAUGCAUUUGGAAUGAUCCCUUUCCAAGCAAACUAAACUAACCUUGCUAAGUGNNNNNNNNNNNNNNNNNNNNNNNNNNNNNNNNNNNNNNNNNNNNNNNNNNNNNNNNNNNNNNNNNNNNNNNNNNNNNNNNNNNNNNNNNNNNNNNNNNNNAUAGGUGGAAAUGGGAAUGGGAUCGCCCGAGAAACCAUUGGAUCUAGGAAAUUGAUUCAUUGUUCUGCCUCUCCCACUGGUGGUGGGUGGCAACCAAAGGACUUGAAUCUAGCGUUUGUUCCGGUUGAGCUUUCAUUCCUUCGAAUAGACGGAUAGCUCUUGGAGGAAGGGAUGAGCUUUUAUCGGAAGGACCUGGCCGAUGCAAUUGAGAGACUGAGAGGAACUGGACUUGGCAGAGGAAUGCAUAGAAAUAUCUGCCUUUGCCAGGAGAAUCCAAACCUGCCUAAUAGCCUAUGAAUGUGGAAUCCCGUUCGUAUUCUUCCUCAAAGCCAUAUUUGCCUUUAUCUGAUUUCAACCUAUUGAUCUUUACUGUGCAUGGAUAUCUUGACUCAUGAUUCAACAGUUCACAUCCCCAGCGAACUCCCUCACACCAAUUGGCAUUAAAGAGGAGCUGUGCCAAAAAGUGCCAUAGCAUAUAUUAUUGCUUGCGCAAAGAUCGGAAUCAUACCUCUAGCAGGCAUUUUCUGUUACCUAAACAGCUGUCAUUUCUACUUUACUGAAAUAGAGACUUUCAUUGAUACUUGAACUAUUGACCUGGCUAGCGCUAACGCUUUGCAAGGUAAUUGGAGACUGGUCCGCUUGAAAUCGCUNNNNNNNNNNNNNNNNNNNNNNNNNNNNNNNNNNNNNNNNNNNNNNNNNNNNNNNNNNNNNNNNNNNNNNNNNNNNNNNNNNNNNNNNNNNNNNNNNNNNUGAUUUUAUUGGGACGCUAGUGAGUUAAUGAGCACUCUUUGCAUGGUUCCAUCAACCCUUUUCUUGCGUGUUCUGAAUCGACUUCUCAUCUAUAAAGAAGAGAUGCCCCGUAGAAGACUCCAGGCCACCGAAGCUAACAAAAGGCUAAGGACACCCAUUUAGUUCUUUGUUCUUAUGCCGACUAAAGCUAGCGGAGCCACAGCUUGAAUCUCCCUAGAAAUCCCCACUCGUAGCCCGACGGCUGGGUUUGUUAAGCAUAUUCGAUUGGAAGCUCUUCUUCACCGGGUUAAGCGAUGGUAGUUUUAGGCUUGGCUUAUCACCAUAUCCAACCCGAAUUCCGUAGUUCGAAAGGAGAAUUAGGCUACCUGAGAACAACUGAUUAUCCAAAACAUGAGACUGCUUUCUUAGCAAAGCUUUGCUUGGCUCAACUUAGUCUCUAUCUCUAAUGGCUAGACCAAGACCCCUGGUCGGAUACUUUUAUUGACCUCUUGCUGUUUGCAAAAAAGCUAUCCAGAUUUCAAUAAGUCUUGUCAUCCUUGCAUGUUUUUGACCUGGCAUGCUUCUUGCUUUCUUUUCGUAAGAACCGGCGUUGAAGAGGAGUGUGAUGCCAGGGGAAGUCGACUCGGUUACCGGGUCUGUCCUGUGAGGGAUCGUUAUAUAGUUUUCAUCUGGUAGGUCUUCUUACUUAUGAUGCCUGGAACUUUAACUAGAACUGGGCAUUCCUCAACCGAAACAAUUAGAGAACUAGUUAUUCCCGCGGGACACGAACUUACAUGAAACUAAACUUUAAAAACAAGUUUACUUUCGUUAGAAAAUAGAAAAACCAACGGAAAAGAAAGUCUCAUGUUGCUCCUCAGAAAACGCGUAGAAUAGUCUCAUUGGCCCUCGUCGAUGGGACAAUCCAGUGUAUGCGUUACAAGGCAACUAGCAUUUAGUUCGUGAAAGAAUGUUUCGUUGGAAAAACCAACGCCGACGUCAAGAUCAGUCUCCUUUCUCUUUUCGGGAGCAGAGCUGAAAAAGAUGGGAAAUUCCAAUGAUUCUUCGUUCAUUAGAAUGUCGAUUCCUCACAAUCGCUCUUUGUGAUGCUGCGGAACCAUGGCAAUUAGGAUCUCAAGACGCAGCAACACCUAUGAUGCAAGGAAUCAUUGACUUACAUCANNNNNNNNNNNNNNNNNNNNNNNNNNNNNNNNNNNNNNNNNNNNNNNNNNNNNNNNNNNNNNNNNNNNNNNNNNNNNNNNNNNNNNNNNNNNNNNNNNNNUCACUCUACUCUCCCAAAUCCACUUUCUAGUAUGAAGUGAUAUGCUCUCUUAGCUCUUUUGGAGAAUGUAUAGAUUUCUCACCAUCUUCCUUGAUAGAAAUGCUAUUCUUUCUUUUCCUCCCAUUUGCUUUUUUAUGGAAAUAAGCAGUGUCCCUUUAGCAGCCACUCUACUGUUCACCUCCUCUUUUCUGCCAAUAUAACUCUUCCAUCUCACAAAUUUGGACCAAUUGAGCUUCCAAUUCAUAUCUUAGCCUCCAUUCAUUAGGAUUUAGCUGUGUAGUUUCGGCUUUAAUAUCAAUGACAGACAUAUAGCAGUAAUUAGAUUGGAUUUACUUCUUCUAUUGUCAGUAGCAUCAUUUGCCUUCCACCCUCUCAAGAACUUCCUGAAGCCCUGAGACACUUGUUGCCAAUAGUCUGGAAUGGAACAUUUGCAACAGUUCUUGUAGGCCAUUUCUGUAACAGCAUAUCUCUAAACCCUUCUUGCGGAUGGUUCAAAACGAAACUUAGUGGCAGCCCCUAUCUUCCCCAUUUUCUAGAAGUAAAGGACAAUGAUCUGACCCAGCUUGCAAGAGGGAUAGUAAAACUUAGGAAAUAAAUCCUCAUAAGUUGAAGAAACCAGAACUCUAUCCAAAACUUCUCUCACUGGCCUGUCUUGUUUGUUAGUCCAGGCCACCAACCCUUCUCAGUUCCUGUAGUUUAGUUUCAGAUAUGAAAGCAUUAAAAGCUUCCAUCCUAUUAAUAUGUAUUCUGCCAUUGUUUCAUGAGCAAAUCUGAUCAUGUCCCGCAAAGGUAGAUCAACACUCUGCANNNNNNNNNNNNNNNNNNNNNNNNNNNNNNNNNNNNNNNNNNNNNNNNNNNNNNNNNNNNNNNNNNNNNNNNNNNNNNNNNNNNNNNNNNNNNNNNNNNNCUCCUUCUCAUGAGCAGCUAACUUCUUUUUCUGAGCAGCUUCAUAAAGCAAUGCUUGAGCAAGUUCUCUUGCUUUAAUAGAAUUUAUAGACCUGUCAAUUUCCUCCUGUGUACUGCCCAACACUAGACCACUAUCUACAGCAGAUUUUACUAGACUAGCAGAAUCAAUGGAAUUGCAAAUAGCAUAUCUGUUAGUAGAAGACAUACCUGGUUCAUCAAGAUUCUUGCGUGAAGCCAUCCUUUCUGCACGUUGCUGAAUAGGCAUGCCAUCCUUCGGGAUCCUAUCCUAGCACUUGUCCUCGUUGCUUUAAUUCUUGCGUUUGCACCUCAUUGAACUUCUCUUGUUCUUUGGUCAUUCCAGAAAAAACCUCCAUACCUUAAUAAUAGGGGCUUGUGUAUAAAGGAAAGCAGCAAACCGGUCAAAGGCGAAGCUGUUCUAUCUCAACUCUCUGACUUGAAGGAAGAUGUGGCGGAUCUCAAGGCUGGCUCUAUUCCAAGUACAAGUUUCGAGGUGAAAUGUGUUGAUGUGGCCAAUCGAUAUACAGUAUAGUUGAAUGGUUCGACAAGUUCACAUGCCGGAGCUACCUGUUCUCCGCGAUUCAAGUUGGUUCUUCUGCCCCGCUCCACCAGAAUUGUGCAGACAUCGACACUAGCUUCUGACAAGUACCCUUUGAUAACUGAAAACAGCUCAUGCUGUAGGUUGGCAUCGCCUGAAUGACUGCCUUUAUUAGCGUUUCCUUUCCAUGCAUGCGUUCUUUCUCUCCUCCCCUCAGCCACACAUCUUUUUCGUUCGCUCCCCAUUUUAUUCUCUAAGGAACCCUCUCCUUAAUGAGCGUAGAUUGAUGGAGAUGGCUUUUGUACCGGUCAAUCUUUAUAUCCUUUCUGGCAUAGUUUUGUAAAAGAUCGGCAGAUGAUCCGUCCUUUCUCCUCUGCCGUGGUUCAUGCAUUCUUCCUUUUUGGAAAGCGGAUAGGGAUCGGGUGAAUUAGAGAAUAGACAGACGUCCGUUGGCAUUUCAGCCUUUCUUCUCCUUUCAGGGCCUAUCCGAAAGAGAAUCCAGUACCUCUUGGUCCUAAAUAUCAGAAUAGGACGCGCAACAACGGAACAACAAGAGCAAGACCGCUCCAAACUAAAUCACAGUAGAAGUUAUGGCCACUCAGGCUGGACCAAAACAGCAAGCGGAAGGUCUCCGAAAGUCCUACAUUAGCACCAAGCCAUCCCCCAAGGGAGGGUAUAACGGAGUGUGGUAAAAUCCAGUUGCUAACGCUCCCGGCUGUGGGUUCUUCACAAUUAGCAGGGCUUCUAUUCUAGUACAGAGAUCACCACUUGUUAUGCCAGGGUCUCCUUUUUCGAGUUGGUUACUGUCUUGUUGAGCAACGUUUUCCCGGCAAUCUCCGCUUAUUAGGGUGGCCUCUAACAGGUCGGGAGAGUACUAAAAAUCUGGCUCAUACGCCUCGCAAGAUUGAACAUCUGCGAAAGUCGUCUCGAAGCUCUGACUCUCGAGAGAAAGUAUUGCCUACCAGUGACUUAUUUUACUGAAUAAGAAUGCCUACUGUACUAGCUUCUUUCUUGACUCCAUUAACUCAGUUUACAGAAAGGAAUCCGUCCAGUCCAGUAAGAAGGAAUAGAGAAGAAGAAAGUCACUCAUCAACUCCUACUUUGGUUAUUGAGACUUGCCCGCGUAUCUGACCUAUGUGUACCUAUUCCCUAGCCUAAGUAGCUUACCCACUGUCCUAAUAACUGUCUGUCAAUCCGGCAGCUUGCCCUACUGCCUAUCGACGCUACUGUCCUAAGUCUCCUACUCAUAUACCCAAGGUCAAAGACUUUGCAGGGCAACAAACUGAUUUCGGAAUUGCUUAACUGCUGAGAGCUAAUAUCGGGGAGUAGUAAGCCAGCCCACCACAAGAUGAAUGAGUGCUCCUCUCCUAUGCCGACUUACUAGCCAGGUUGAGCCUUUGAGCCAUAAGAGGAGGGAGAAUCUUGUUGAUUUUCCAGGGAAUGAUUAUAUGGAUUUCAAGGAGGAUAUUGUUACCUUCAUCAGAUUGAUUGAUAACUGGUCGUCGAUUGACAACUACUGCUUUUUCCAGUGAGAAAGGAAGGAGGAAGGGGAUCUCAACAAGCCAUGGAUAUAUAGCCUACAGCCGAGUCCACAAAGAAGACGGUUUCAAAGCUUGAAGAGCAUAUUUGUGAGGCUGAUCCCUAAGUGCAGAGUUUCAUGUGACGAACAACGAAACUCCAUUUCUUCAAACACAACCCUGUGCCACCGACAAACGUUUGACUUUGACUGUGUUUUUUUUGGGCUAUGAAGAUUCUACUUAUACCCAAUGAUGGAACAUUUUGAAAAUAUGUUCAACGGGGUCUUAAGAAAGGCAAAUUUCAGGCCUGUAGUUUUUAAGAUCAUCUCGCUAAUCGAAAGAUGAAGGAUAGCGAACACUAGAUGGCUAGUGGCCUUAUGCAAACAAAGAAGAGGGAUGCCUAACCAAUUGAUCCUAAAAGAUCUUAUUUGAGAUAGGUCAGAUUGGACUUAGUGGCCAACGUUAGGGAUGGUAGAGUCAAUAUGGGAUGUGGAAUUCCAGGAAACGUUCUUAUCCGCGCUCACUGAUAAUGUGAACCUGGUCCUUAGUUUCCUCCAACUGAUUCCUGUUUUUUUGAGCCUUUUUCAGUAAGUCCUUAAUAGCUAAAAAUGCUUUGACUCUAAGGGUUACCUUGGUACCUUUAUUCGGAUAUGCUUCUUUUCGGACAGGAGGGGCAGAUUGACAUUCAGGCAAUGGCACAUGGAUUCUAUUGAGAAGGGUUGGCUGCUCUCGACGACGGGGUGGGGGAAUGAGAUGCUGGGAGAUGGGAGUUAUUGGUGGAUUGAGAGGGGAGCAGAUGCAUGGGCUAGUUCAAUCUUUUUGCUCCUGCCUUCCUAGCCUUAUGGACAGGAGUCCUCUGGCCUAGUCCUGAAACUCUUCCCGCAGCCUUCCUUGCCCUUAUUGCCCGGCAUACCUCGGAAGGCAUACCCUGGAACCAAUUCAUUCAUCUGCCCUCUUCGCGAUAAAGCUUUGCCUUACUUUGCUUGCUGGCUCUAAGCCCACCUCCUUUACUACACUACACCCUCUCACCGCCCCUAUUCAGCCCGAAAGGCUUCUAACUUCCCCGAAACCUUACUUAUUCAGGGCAAGAUUCGGAACUUAGGGUCACUGCCUUUCAUCCGCCUUUCUCUCAUAUGCUUAGAACCUAUCCAUAGAAAUGGAAUUCAAAACUUCGGAAUAGUUUCGAGGAGAGCCGAGAGGACAUGUUCAAGGAGUAGUGUAAAGUAGCAGACAGAGGGGCGCUCCCGCUUAGGCAUUAGGCAUUAGGCACGAGAAAGGACAUCGUUCUCGGCCGUCCCUUCCUUCCCGGAAAAAGGCUCUCUUGCAUCUUUUGCUUCCCCACCCGGCCUCUAUUCUAGAUUCACCGUCUUCGGAUGCAUCAGUUUAUUAUGCUUAUGCCUAAUCUUAAUACUGGCUAGUUACUUCAAUUACCUUACCCCACCGCCCCUCCUUUUAAGGAGGUUUCAGAGCACCCAGUCACAGCUCGUCACAAGAAAGGAUUGAUGGUCGAGUCCCCGUGCAUGAAGUCAGUGGAUUCGAGUGAACUGACCGUACUACAAAUCGACAUACUUGAGGAAGCUUCUUACUAAACCAAAGAAAGGGCAACUCCAGUUGUGUUGUCGAUUCCCUUCUCCCGAGAGCUUUCACACUCUGGGAUGGGAGUCCCUUCNNNNNNNNNNNNNNNNNNNNNNNNNNNNNNNNNNNNNNNNNNNNNNNNNNNNNNNNNNNNNNNNNNNNNNNNNNNNNNNNNNNNNNNNNNNNNNNNNNNNUAUUUUAAUUUUGAAGGAGUUUCACAUAUUCUACGGUACUACAUACAUGCAUAUGAAUGUACAAUUUCAAACAAAUUUGAAAUUAGAACCAAAAAGAAUUCAAGAGGAAUAUACAAUAUAUAUUCAAUAUCAUCGGAUGACCAUAUACAAUUUUGAACAAGUUUCCAUACAUAAUUUAAUGCAUAUGAAGUUCUACGUCCUCGUAAUGGUGUUCUCCUUUACGAUGGAGGACUUCCCUCCUGAACCAUCCAGCUAGUUCCUCUUGAAGUGGUCGGAAGCGAGCUUCUGGACUAAGCAUCACCCGGAGGUUAUUCCGCUGAGCAUUGGUAUCACUCGGAACCCGCUCAGAGGUGUAUCUCCGGAUCAUCUCACAGACAUAGUAUCCACAUAGAUUGGUCCCCGCUGGCUGAAUAUCCCCACCAUUCUUAGCCUUUGACCUUUUGAAUUCUAGCUCUUUUUUGAAUUCACCGACCUUUGUAUCUACGAACCGUCUCCAAACCCUACGAGGCAAAGAAAAUUAAAUGAACAAGAGAGUUAUUAGUUACUUGAUAUUAGGAAAUGAACGAAAUAGGCCGAUCGAUAUAGAGCGCAAAUGAAUGAAAAUAAUUACUUCUGCAGCAUUCUUCUCAUGCCGCCCCAAAGCUUUGGAUCCAUAUUCAGAGAGUCGUGGACGAGACAUUCUGAGGUGUCAACUUUAAUUACUAGCAGAAUCCAGUGGAACCUGCGGACACGAUACAUGCACAGUACGUCAUGCAUAACUCAUCGAUUAGCCGGCCACAUAUCAUGCAUGGAGUAAACAAAAGAGAAUGUGCUCAAGACAGAAACACUCACCCAAAAUGGUAAGGAAAUAGAAUAUCACUUUUGAGUUCCUGCUUUGUAAGAAACUGCCACAGGUCUGCCUCCAUGUAGGCGGGGUGAUGCUCCAACACAUAUCCAUUAACGAUGUGUGGGUCAAUGAACCCAACAUCAUGGAUGUUCCUUACUCUGCAUUCCUUAAUCUUCAUUCUGCAUGUAUAAUAGCGGACACAACAAUAUAGUUACGACAUAUAUAUAGUGCAGGCAAUAUGAACGAGAUGGGGUAUAAAUAAAUCACUUACAGAACGUAGCAACUGAUGAUAGAUUUGUCGAGCUCGCGCAGAUUGAAAAGCUGGAACAAUUCACUCAGAUGAAUUUGUACAUAGUAAUGUUUGAAGUGAUGCUCAUAUCUAACUUCCGCAUAAAUAUAAUCUUUGGCGUUUUUAUUUUUUAUGUAACCCUUGUACCAUUUCAGCAGACCUUUCAUUUGUGGAGGUAGAUCCUCUUCCUGCGCAGGCUCGACGAGAGGCCCAUUCUUCACAUAUGUAAUUACUACCUCCUUCACUGGCGCCUCAUCAAGGCCUAACAUUUCACGAAGAGUAAUACCUAAGUUGGCCGCUUGUUCUCUGGCACUCGUUACAGUCAAUCCAUGUGCUGCCGCAGCUGCUAUGAUAUCGGGGUCAUCCGGACCGGCGGCUUUCACUAUAAGCGGGGCAAUCGAUUGUUUACUUUGUUCCCCGAGCUGGGCAACUCGUUUCCCGCUUUUUUUACUUUCUAAUUCCGUUUUCUCGGCCUCCUCCAAGGCUUUGUUCUCCUGGUUCUCCGCCCGCUCUUUCUUCUCCUUCAACAUGAGUGCCUGCCUACGAAGUUCACGUGCAUAGUCGUCAGGCAGAUUCUUCGCGGCUUGGGACGGUGUGCUCAAAAAUGACUUAGCCCACUUCUUUUGCUCAUCAGAAAAUACUGGCUUGGGCUCGGGCUCUCUUUUCUUCUUGCAGUUCGCCUUCCAUUUCUCAUGAUCAGCAGCCGCCCUCGCGGCAGUUUCCUCGGCACUACGUUCCCAAGGCCUUGUGGGGAGAGGCUUCAGUGAUGGCUCCGGUACCUUUGUGGUCUUAGGUACAUAAGGGUCCGGGUUAAUAAUCCAGGACUGCUUCUGCUUCUUUGCCGGAGGUGGAUUGGGGGGUGGCGUCUGAUCACCCGCCGGACGAGGACUGGGGGGCGGCGUCUGAUCACCCGCCGGACGUUGUGGACUGGGGGGCGUCGGCUGACGUGACGGAGGUGUAGGUGAACCGUCACCACCACCACCACCACCACCACCGCCACCGCCACCACCACCACCGUAGGGGGGUGGACUUGUUGUCCUUGGCGCCUCGCCUGGAAACUUGAUAAACUUCUUUUGCCAUAGAAUGAAAUGGCGCUUGACAUCUCCAAGUCUUUUCUCCCCUUCAGGUGUAGCAAUGUCAAUCUCCAGGUCCUCAAACCCUUGGACUAUGUCCUCCACCGUGACACGAGCAUAGCCAUCUUGAAUGGGGUUGUUGUGGUGGAGUGCUCCAGGUAAACAUGGUAAAGCACUGCCGAUGGCUACCUUCAUGGACAUGUUCCCGAUAGGAUAAUACAGAUGACAUUCUUUCAUCUCCUUUAUAUCGUCCACGGGGUAGCGAGGAGGCUCCGGUGCAGUAAUUUCGACCACCAGAGGCUCCGGUGCAGUAAUUUCGUUCGUCGGUGCAUCUGCACCAGCUGGUGGGGCCUCCGUGGAAGCCACGCUGCUUCUCCGCUGCUGGCUUCCGAGAUCCGCUGGAUGAUCUUCAUGCUGCGCCCGAACAUCUCUUUCGGCUAAUAGUACACUCACGGUUUUCUUCAUCACAUCCAUUUCCGAUGCCAACCGUGCCACAACAUCUGCUUCCCGAUCCAUCUUUCUCUUACGGCUUCUGUAACCGUACGGGUCAUCGUUCUGGGGGAACCCUAUUUUCCACGGAAUGUUCCCCAUGCCUCGUACACGUCCUCCGUGUUCAGGAUUCCCGAGGGCUUUUGUCAGCGCGUCGUUCUCUCUGUUGAACUUGAUCUUCCCCUCUUGAGCAUCCCUCAUUGCGUCAAUAAGGGCUUGGGUGGGUUUAAUUAAUUUGCCCCGGUAAACACACUCCCCUGUCUCCGGGUUCAGCGUUCCCCCAUGCCCGUACCACCAGCUUUUGGCCCUUUGGUCCCAUCCCUCCGUACCUGGACGGAUUCCUCGCGCCCUCAGCUCGUUCUCCAUCUUCUCCAACCUAGGCACCCAAAUGCGAUACCCUCCUGGCCCCAUAAUAUGAUUGUACUCCUUCUUAGCCGCAUUUUCCUUAUUUCUUUUCGAUAUUUGAAUGAACUGCUCCGAUUUCUUUUGCUUCACAAAUUCUGGCCAAUCAUGUUUCAGUUUCUCAUAUUGUCCUUUGAAAUCCGGAGUCUUGUUCUGCUUGACAAAGUCAUGGGCUAGAUUUUGCUUGAAUUUCCGGAAUGCGUCGGCCAUCUUAUGAAGAGCGAACUGUUUGACUAGCCUCCUCCUCUCCUUGUUUUCCUCAAUCUUGUUACCCUCCUCAUCGAAUUUGUUGUAUUCCGGAGGUAGAACGAAAUGUUCCAUAAGCUUCUUGAAGCAAUCUUUUUUUGUUCUCUUAUCGACAAAAGUGAAACCAGCAUUUCGUGCCUUCUUUGGCUCAUUCCACUCCUGGACGGUGAUCGAGACGUUGUCUCUAACAACGGCUCCGCAUUGGCUGACAAACUUGGUGGCGUUCUUGCGGGGCUCCAGCGGCCUGCCGGUUGCACUGUCGACAACCUCGAUGGUGCAUGUUUCUCCUUGUUUCAUCGUCUUGGUUGCGCCACGCUUUGACGACGUACUCGAUUGUUUCGACGAUCCGGCCGAGGGCUAAAAUAAGAAAGAGAGUCGCGCGCGUUAGUACACACGUAUUUAUUCAAAUCAGUUAGUUUGUAUCACCAGAGGCUCAAUGUAUAUAUAUACCUCGGCGCCGGAGGUGGUUGCUACUUCCAUUUGAAGAUCGUCGUUUAUCGACGUUUGUUCGGCAUCAUCUUGCUGACGGCGCCCUUCAUCUUCACCGUCAAGGUUCAGAUAAGAAGAGAUAUCAUCUUCUUGAUCUUGUCCGGUCGGCACAUAUAGAAUAUCGCCGUUUAUGAUGCCGAACAUAUGUGCUUCACCGUCCGGAUCAUAGUUGUCCAUAAUCGGGUCAGCUCUAUCGUCCGCCAUUAUGUCAGUCCUGAAAACAUGUAGUAAAAACAAAUUAAUUAAGUGAAGAAGGGGGGCGGUGGCGGUGGCGGUGGCGAAAGGGCGGUGGCAAAAGGAGGGGGUGAGGAAGGGGUCAAACACUCAUGCCCGUCUAUUGACAAGUACCCCCUCUUGUUUGGUUUUACUCCGUGUAUAAAAUUUGACUGAUGUUGAACUUCGUCAAGUUCGAUCGAAUGCGUGUUAAGAAACAUCAAUAUCCACAACACUAAAGUUUAACUUCAAACGAAUCAUGUAAAAAAAGGAACGAAGGGAGUACUGCAUCGCCUGUCGCUAGAAAGGAUAAGCGUUAAACCUUGAGCUUUGAUCUCUGUUAGGCUAGGAUGCAAUCACCAUCGGUCGGGUGCCAUGCUACUGAUUGAAACAACAGCCUAUAACGGUCUCGGAUCCAACUUGGGCUCAUGUUCUGAGAUCACUUUACAUUUUUUGACAAAACAAAUUGACAUCAGAUGAUUAUACAUUUUUAUUGUCUGUUUGUUUGCCAUAUUGUGUGUUUUUUCAUCUUAAUAAUGUUAAUUUUACGAACUUGUCUAAACAAGACUAAUACGGUUUUAUUCAACUAUUACUUAUCCAUUAACUCAUUUUUAUGCCUGACGUGCAAAGUGAUAUUAGCGUGUUAUAGCCCACCAGAGGUAAACAACCCACACCAUUUUCUAAAAUAUUUUUUCAGAAUAGAUUGUUGUUAGAUUCUAGAGUGGUGGGUUUAGUGCCAAAUAGUCAACGUCAUUGUGGAAAAUAAGAAAAAUGCACAAUAUUCAUCAUCUAUUUCUUAAUCAAUGGAAUGUGACACCAUGACACAUUUAGUCGCGCGCCCAAGUUGGAUCCGAGACCGUUAUAGACAUACUUUAGAACGUAGAUUCACUCAUUUUGCUUCGUAUAUACUCAUCUAAUGAAAUCUAUAAAAAAAAACUUAGAACGUAGAUUCACUCAUUUUAGGAACGGAGGGAGUAUACUAAGUGAAUCAAGUAUCCAACGGUGCAUCAAGGUUAACGGCAAUCAAGAUUCAUAGUGCAAUUCUUCAAUCCUUCUUGCACUUGCACAUAGGUUAACGGCGCCGUACGUGGGCGAGAAGGCCGGCGGCGAGGGCGAGGGGCGACGGCGGGCGGCGUACGUGGCCGGGCAAGGGUGACGGCGGGCGGCGAGGGCGGCGUCGAGGGCGAGGGCGACGGCGGGCGGCGAGGGCGGCGUCGAGGGCGAGGGCGACGGCGGGCGGCGAGGGCGGCGUCGAGGGCGAGGAUCGGAGAAGACGAGAAUCGGAGAAGACGGCGGCAGGCCUUGUAUUUAUAACCCCCACCUUUAGUCGCGGUUGGAUAAACCAACCGCGACUAAAGGGUUUUUUCGUUCCGGCGCGCAACGACCUUUAGUCGCGGUUGGUCUGGCCAACCGCGACUAAAGGUAUUUUUCAAAAUACUUUUCUUUUUCAAUAUCUUAAAAAUACAAAUAAUAUAUCAAAAAAUUCAGAAAAAUAAAACUAAUUCAAUUCAAUAUGUUAAAAACACAAAAAUUAUAUCAAAAAAUUAAGAAAAAUAAAACUAAUUCAAUUCAAAAUGUUAAAAAUACAAAUAAUAUAUCAAAAAAUUCAGAAAAAUAACACUAAUUCAAUUCAAACGUCCUUAUCCCACCGACAGUUUUCUUAGAUGACACAAAAACCACAUUUAGUCCCGGUUGCACCAACCAGCCGGGACUAAAGGUUAGAUGACCAGCUCUGGAUUCCUCUUCUUCCCGCCAUUUCUUCCCUGUCUUCCCGCCUCUUUCUUCCCGCCACUUUCUUCCCGCCUCCUGUCUUUCCGCUCCCAUUUUUCCCGCCAUUUCUCACUACAUAUAUGUAGCCCGGCUUGGCCAGCAUUAUCACAUCUCUACAAUCUCUCAUCACUCUCUCAUGGCUUCCACCGCACCCACUCUAACCUACCAGCAGGUGGAGGAGCUUUGCGCCUCGAACUACCCUUGUCCACCGGGCUACCGCGUCCCCACCGGCUGGAGCCUAAGCGCCGGCGGCGUGCCGGUCCCUCCCGUCCCUCAGGGUACUGCGCGUCGGGCGGCCAUCACGAACCACUACUACCUCGACCUCACGCCGGAGCAGCGGAUGAAUCCCCGCUGGCAUCCCGAUAACCAGCAUACUUGGGACGCCUUCUUCAUCAAUCGGCGUGAAAGGGCGCUCGCCAGGUAUGAGGAGGACGGUCUGCCUCCUGGGAACUUCCACGAGGCCGGCCGUCGGCUAUGGUGGUACGGCCGGACUCUGCAGAGCGUCAUGGACUACAUCACGGCCGGCGAUAUCCCCCGCCUGCGCUACCCUCAGUUCGAGCCACGAGCGCCGCCCGACGACAGCAGCGACGACGACGGCGGCAACUUAGAAGGCGACGACUACCAGUACAACGACGACAGCAGCUAUGAAGACUACGAGUAUGCAUAUUAUACGCCUAGGCAGGAGUAUGACUAAAUCACUCCAAAUUUCAUGUAUCAUCAUUGGUAUCUCGAAUCAUUCGAAAAUGGACACCAAACACAUCACGGGUAAUAUAAUUCACAUGAUCCAUUCAACAAAGUUUGGUACAAUAAAUUAUUACACAUCAUUUCUUCCCUUGUGUCCCUGCUUGCUUACGAUUGUGCCGUAUCCAUGGAGCAUCCUCAUCAUUUAACUUAAUGCUUGGGUCGGUGUUCACUUUGAAGGGCGGAAUUUCAGCAAACAUAUUAUAAUCUUCUGACAUGUCUGUCUUGUCCUCCACUCCCACGAUGUUUCUUUUCCCUGAAAGAACAAUGUGGCGCUUUGGAUCAUCGCAUGAUGUACUGAUCGUUUUCUUAUCUUUCUGUUUCCUCGGUUUGCUACUCAUGUCCUUCACAUAGAAAACCUGAGCGACAUCUUUCGCUAGGACGAAUGGUUCGUCAAGGUAAACAAGAUUGUUGAAAUCCACCAUUGUCAUUCCGUAUUGCUGGUCCACCUUUACCCCACCUCCUGUUAGCUUGAACCAUUUGCACCGGAACAAAGGGACCUUAAAGGAGGGUCCAUAGUCAAGUUCCCAUAUCUCCUCUAUGUAACCAUAAUAUGUGACCUCUUGCCCAUUCUCGGUUGCUGCAUCAAAGCGGACACCACUGUUUUGGUUGGUGCUCUUUUUAUCUUGGGCGAUCGUGUAAAAUGUAUUCCCAUUUAUCUCGUACCCUUGGAAAGUCGUUAUAGUCGAAGAUGGUGUCUUGGCCAACAUGUACAGCUGAUCUACAACAUCAUUGUCAUUCAUUAAAUGUUUUCUCAACCAACUGCCGAAAGUCUCCAUGUGGGCCUUCCUAAUCCAGGAUUCAGGCUUCCCCGGGUUGUCCGAGCGUAAAAUAUUCUUGUGUUUCUCAAAGUACGGAGCCACCAAGCUGGAAUUGGUCAGUACAGUGUGGUGUGCUUCAGUCAGAGAAUGGCCGUCCAUACAUAUCGUUGAUUUCCUUCCGAUCGUGCCUUUUCCACUUAGUCUCCCCUCGUGCCGCGAUCGAGGAAGACCAAUCGGCUUAAGGUCAGGAACAAAGUCAACAUAAAACUCAAUUACCUCCUCAUUUCCAUAGCCCUUGGCGAUGCUUCCUUCUGGCCUAGCACGGUUACGAACAUAUUUCUUUAAUACUCCCAUGAACCUCUCGAAGGGGAACAUAUUGUGUAGAAAUACAGGACCGAGAACGAAAAUCUCUUCGACUAGGUGAACCAGGAGGUGCGUCAUAAUAUUGAAGAAGGAUGGCGGGAACACCAGCUCGAAACUGACAAGACAUUGGAUCACAUCGUUCUGUAACCGUGGUAGAACUUCUGGAUUGAUUACCUUCUGAGAGAUUGCAUUGAGGAAUGCACAUAGCUUCACAAUGGCUACUCGAACAUUUUGCGGCAGGAGCCCCCUCAAAGCAAUCGGAAGCAAUUGCGUCAUAAUCACGUGGCAGUCGUGAGACUUCAGGUUUUGGAACUUUUUCUCCGCCAUGUUUAUUAUUCCCUUUAUAUUGGACGAGAAUCCAGACGGGACCUUCAUACUGCUCAGGCAUUCAAAAAAGAUGACCUUCUCUUCUUUGGUCAGAGCGUAGCUGGCACGACCUUGAAACCAUUCCGGAUGCCGGUCAUCAGGGUCUUUCAAACGUUGCUGGUCCUGCCGUGCUUCCUUUGUAUAAUUUGUCUUCCCAUACACGCCCAAGAAGCUUAGGAGGUUCACGCAAAUAUUCUUCGUAACGUGCAUCACGUCGAUUGCAGAGCGGACUUCUAGGACUUUCCAAUAUUCUAGCUCCCAGAAUAUAGAUUUCUUCUUCCACAUGGCUGCGUGCCCGUCAGCUCCCUUCGGAACUGAUUGUCCGCCAGGACCCUUUCCAAAGAUGACUUUCAAAUCCUUGACCAUAUCAAAUAACUCAGCACCAGUGCGUUCCGCAGGCUUCGGCCGGUGAUCUGCCUUGCCGUUGUAAUGCUUGCCUUUCUUUCUUACUAGAUGAAUUUUCGGAAGAAAUCGACGAUGCCCAAGGUACACGUUCUUCUUACAAUUUGGCAAAUGUACACUUUCAGUCUCAUGUAAGCAGUGCGUGCAUGCAUUGUAUCCCUUAUUUGACAGUCCCGAAAGGUUACUAAGAGCAGGCCAAUCGUUGAUGGUUACGAAAAGCAACGCUCGUAGGUCAAAUUCCUCUUCUUUGUGCUCAUCCCACACACGGACACCAGGUCUGCCCCACAGCUGUAAAAGUUCAUCAACUAAUGGCCUUAGGUACACAUCGAUGUCGUUGCCGGGUUGCUUCGGACCUUGGAUGAGCACUGGCAUCAUAAUGAACUUCCGCUUCAUGCACAACCAAGGAGGAAGGUUGUAGAUGCAUAGAGUCACGGGCCAGGUGCUAUGGCUGGAGCUCUGCUCGCCAAAAGGAUUCAUGCCAUCUGUACUUAGACCAAAUCUUAUGUUCCUUGCGUCAGCUGCAAAAUCUUUGAACUCUCUGUCGAUCUUUCUCCAUUGCGUUCCAUCUGCGGUGUGUCUCAACUCCCCGUCCGACUUACGGUCCUCUUUGUGCCAUCGCAACAACUUGGCAUGCUCUUUGUUCCUGAACAAACGUUUCAACCGUGGUAUUAUAGGAGCAUACCACAUCACCUUGGCGGGAACCCUCUUCCUGGGUUUCUCGCCCUCAACAUCGUCACCAGGGUCAUCGCCUCUGAUCUUAUAACGCAAUGCAGUGCAUACCGGGCAUUCAUUCAAAUUCUCGUAUUCACUGCGGUAGAGGAUGCAGUCGUUGAUGCAUGCAUGUAUCUUCAGAACCUCUAAACCUAGAGGGCAUACAACCUUCUUUGCUUCGUACGUACUGGCGGGCAACUCGUUAUUCUUUGGAAACAUAUUCUUCAACAUUUUCAGCAAGUUUUCAAAUGCCGAGUCAGCUACACCUGCCUGUGCCUUCCAUUUCAGCAAAUCCAGUGUGCAGCCCAGCUUUUUCAGACCAUCAUCGCAUCCGGGGUACAACGACUUUCUGUGAUCCUCUAACAUGCGAUCCAAAUUCUCCCUCUCCUUUUCAGUUUCGCAGCGUCUCCGUGCAUCAGCAAUGGUCCGACCAAGAUCAUCAACGGUCUCAUCACGUGCCUCUUCUUCACCUUCACCUUCCCCUUCACCUUCCCCUUCACCUUCAGCAUCCUCCAUGAAAGUAUCACCGAAAUGAGCAAGAUAGCUUUCAUCCAUGAAAUCAUCCCCUUCUUCAUCUUCUUCCAUUAUAACCCCUCUUUCUCCAUGCUUGGUCCAACAAUUAUAGCUUGGCAUGAAACCGUGCCGAAGCAGGUGCAGGUGAACUUGUCUUGAGGAAGAGUAACCCUUCUGAUUCUUACAGUCAACACAUGGACAAAUAACAAAACCCUUCUGCUUGUUCGCAUUAGCCACUACGAGGAAAUCUUUCAAACCCGUAGUGAAUUCGCGGGAGAGUCGGUUACCGUACAUCCAUUGCCGAUUCAUCUGCAUUAUUAUAAUAUAAAAUAUAUAAUUAACCAUCAUGCAUUUGUUAAACUAACUAGCUAUAAACAAUAGAAAUUAAACAAUGAACAACACACAUGCAUAUAUAUUUUAUCAAUGACACACAUGCAUGAAAGGUUCAAGUUGCUAACCGCGAUCGAGGAGGAAAAAAUAAAUGAGGAACCUCAAGUGUGGCUCCAACACUUCAUAUCAUGUUUGUUUCACGCUCUUGGGGCAUUUCAUCAAACACCUUGUGUGCAUAAGAGGAACCAAAAGCAAACCUACACCCCCUUGUGAAGCUUGUGAAGAGAAGUGGCACCAAAUGGCUAAGUGAGUGUGCUGAACUGGUAUCUAUAGGGGAGGAGAUUUAGUCGCGGUUGGCAUGGCAAACCGCGACUAAAGGCCUUUGGGCACCUUUAGUCGCGGUUGGCCUGGCCAACCGCGACUAAAGCCCCUCACGUGCACCAGCUGGCCACCGAGCGCCCUGGCCCAGGCCUUUGGUCGCGGUUCGUCUGCCGAACCGCGACUAAAGAAAUCAUUAGUCGCGGUUCCUACAGUGUCGCGACUUAUGGGGCUGGACGGAAGCCUCUUUUUCUACCAGUGUAGCCCACAGACCAAAUAUGAGAAGUGAUGUUUUGAAAGCUUCUUAUUGAGUCUAAUACUAUCCUUUUGAAAUUCUUGGUCCUCAGAUCUGAUACCAUAACCAGCAUCUACAUGCUCAUGCUGCAAACUAUCACAUAGGUCCUAUUUCAGGUUCAUUUACUUUCUCAAAUAAGUAACUUUGUCUAAUGUUCCCCGAACGAGUAGUUAAAACAACCACCCCCUGAUCCGAAAGGAAUGGGUGUUCCUGAGGCUUAUUCAAAGGGGUGCCAGCGCUACUACUUGAUUGAGUGCCAGCACGUAGCUGUGCUUUCAGCAAGAAUUUCACCAUUGGGAGCCGGUGCCUUUCGAAGCACUUUCACGUGUGAACCGAAGUCGUCUUGCCCAAGACCCACGGAGACCUACCUAUAGUGACGUCAAAGUACCAGUGAGCAUGGAGGUUUGGUUGAAAUUGGUUACGACGACGUCGAGUUGGCGGCGGAGGAAGACUCGGCAUGAAGGCCAGCCGCCCGGUGGUGUGGUACGUAGUGGUAAUAGUACGCGCCCCGCUCCGAAACAAAGAAAAAGGUGCGUGCCGCNNN
rnacentral:lncRNA from 1 species